GCGCGACUUCCCUGGCCCUCCCCCUGCGGACCAGUGAACCUCGCCCGAGGGCUCAAUAAAGAAGAUUUUUGCCCUCUUUUUCUCACCUCUCAGCCUUAUUGAUCCAUGGUGCCCUUCCAUUGCCUUUCAUUGGUGCCGAAACCCGGGAGGGGACACCUCCUAAGCCCCCCCAGAGGCUCAGGGGGACUCCCCUCCUGGUCGGAUCAGUCCUCUCCCUCAGUCAGGUCAGGCUUCUCCUCCACGGCCAUCUGUCCAUUUCGUCCGGUUACUUGCUGCCAGGUCGCAGUUGCUGCAGCUACUCCAGUCCAAUUCGGCCGACGCUAGAUCAACUGAGAUGCAAAACCCAUGUUCACAUCAUGAGUGAGUCUUCUAACUCGGACAAUGCAAUCAACAAAUUCUAAGACCAAAUUCCGGUGGCACUGGCUCCAAAGGACUCAUGGUCUAUCAAAGAGCAAGACCUCACCAGCUCAACACAGCCACCUCCAUACACAUCUUACUGUCACUUGUGAUCAGCACCAAAGGAAGUGUCCACCUGAAGGACUCUCCCUUGAGGACUGUCAGGAUCCACCCAAGAGGUGCUCUUUGUCCACACCACGUUCCUUUUACUGCUCCUGAGUGUGGAAGGAGGUGAACAGGGAAAAGCAGAGAGGACAAAAGUCACAUCCCCUCCCCACAGACCCAUACUGGGGAAGGGUGGAAGAUUUAGCUGCGAGUCAAGUUCAGAAUUUUGAUUAACAUCUUGGCAUGCACAUUCGAAUUUCAGAAUCAAGACUGUUGGCCAUAAAAAAUGACUAUAGCCUUGUGUAUUACCUGAACUGAGCAGUAAAAAAAAAGUCAUGGUCCUUCUGGGGCUUUUAUUCUGAGACAGGAACCCUGAACAGGCAGGAGAAAGGGAAUGUUGACAGAGAAACAAAGACAGUUGGCGACACACGCUGACCGCCAUGCGGACGUCCAUCAAACCCAGCACUGGCCCUGGGUACGUGCGCCUUUGCUAUUACCCCAAUACAUUUUCUUCUGCAGAGCAAGCAACAGAACACAUGCAGACCUUAAUAAAUACCACUGGGUAAUGUGACAAUGGCCAAACUCUCCUCACGGGGGAGAGAGUGUCCCCCAGUUUUGCUCCCUUUUAAUUUCCAGGGUUCAUAAGUAGCUCUAAAGCUUUGCUCUACAAGGUUGAUACAUACGAUAUUAAUGUUUCCCCUAAGCAGUAUAACAUAAAUAUAUUUGCUAUCUUGACAUUCUGGGUUUGGUUUUUCAGUGUUGGCGUAAGUGGGUUUUAUACUUUCUGGAACAAGAGUUCAUCACCAAAGGGAAAAUGCUGUCCACCCCACCCUCUUUGAAAGAAAAGGCUCAGCCCAUAGUUCUCCAGAUGAAAGAAAUGUACCUAAUCAGCUAUUUCCUGUUGCUUGAUUGGAUGUUAACAAUGGAGAUAGACACACAGCUAAUUGUGGUGGCACAGCAGGAAGCCUAAUUCACUUUGCUGUAGAAAUGCCCACACAGAGAAAGUGGGAGAUGGCUGCACAAGAGGCCCCAUAGGCAGGCAAAUGCUUACUGCAGUUUCUUUCCCAAACAUUUCCAAAUAGACCAAAUAAACAUGAAUUUGCUCACUGUAGUUUAUAUUCCAAAUAAAAAUGAAUUUCUGGCCAGGC
ensembl:lncRNA LINC01287 long intergenic non-protein coding RNA 1287